GCUGAGCUCAGUUGGUAGAGCAUGGGACUCUUAAUCCCAGGACUGUGGGUUUGAGUCCUGCAUUGGGCG
rnacentral:tRNA from 1 species